ACUCUCUGGAGACACUUGGAACACCAAGGGCCGAAGGUGCAACAUACGAAAGUAUGAAUCUCUCAGGCAAACGGACAGAGAAG
rnacentral:ncRNA from 1 species